rnacentral:sRNA from 1 species
AACUCACUAUGUGUAUAACACACACGUGUCGACACAUUCGCCGGGGUGCCAGAGUGGUUUUCCAUUCAGGUCGGCGCAAUGGGACACGUGGAGGCAUAAC